AUUGAACGCUGGCGGCAUGCUUUACACAUGCAAGUCGAACGGCAGCGCGGGCUUCGGCCUGGCGGCGAGUGGCGAACGGGUGAGUAAUGCAUCGGAACGUGCCCAGUAGUGGGGGAUAGCCCGGCGAAAGCCGGAUUAAUACCGCAUACGACCUGAGGGUGAAAGCGGGGGACCGAAAGGCCUCGCGCUAUUGGAGCGGCCGAUGUCGGAUUAGCUAGUUGGUGGGGUAAAGGCUUACCAAGGCGACGAUCCGUAGCUGGUCUGAGAGGACGACAGGCCACACUGGGACUGAGACACGGCCCAGACUCCUACGGGAGGCAGCAGUGGGGAAUGUUGGACAAUGGGGGCAACCCUGAUCCAGCCAUGCCGCGUGCGGGAAGAAGGCCUUCGGGUUGUAAACCGCUUUUGUUCGGGAAGAAAUCCUCUGGGCUAAUACCCCGGGGGGAUGACGGUACCGGAAGAAUAAGCACCGGCUAACUACGUG
rnacentral:rRNA from 1 species